GCCUUCGUGGUUUAAUGGUUAGCACGCACGACGCUUAUUCGUGAGGUUCGUGGUUCGAAUCUCGCCCAGGGCA
rnacentral:tRNA from 1 species